rnacentral:lncRNA from 1 species
GAGAAGAUUGGUUAGAAGGAGCUAUGAGUAGCAAGAAGGAGAAGGAAAACUUACCGAUCUUUGGAGGACCAGAGGAGCACCUUUAGGUAUGGUUUCUUUGUAGAUUUCUUUUUUAUUCUCCUCAUCACCCUAUUCCUUGUUCAUCUCUUGCUGUUUCUGGAUAUUCAUUUGUUGAUUUUGGGCAUGAAUGAUAGACGAUCGAAUAUUUAU